AGUUGAAGCUUUGUAGGUGAAGCUUUGGAGUUGAAGCUUUUGUUGGUGAAACUUUUGUUGGUGAAGCUUUUGUUGGGUACCAUGAAUUGAUUUUGCUUCACACUAUCUUGAUUAAGAUAGUGUGAAGCUUUUGAGAAUUUGUUGUUGUCUUCCAUUGAUGAAGCUUUUGUUGGUGAAGCUUUGGAGUUGAAGCUUUUGUUGAGUACCAUGAAUUGAUUUUGCUUCACACUAUCUUGAUCAAGAUAGUGUGAAGCUUUUGAGAAUUUGUUGUUGUCCUCCAUUGAUGAAGAUUUUGUUGGUGAAGCUUUGGACUUGAAGCUUUGUAGGUAAAGCUUUGGAGUUGAAGCUUUUGUUGGGUACCAUGAAUUGAUUUUGCUUCACACUAUCAUGAUCAAGAUAGUGUGAAACUUUUGAGAAUUGUGGUUUCCCUCCAUUGAUGAAGUUCUUGUUGGCACCAUAAAUUUGUUUUGCUUCACAUUGUCUUUAUCAAGAGUGUGUGAAGCUUUUGAGAAUUGUGGUUGAACUCCUUUGAUGAAGCUCUUGUUGGCACCAUAAA
rnacentral:lncRNA from 1 species